rnacentral:rRNA from 1 species
ACCUCAAAACUAGCCUAACCAAUUAUUAAACAUAACCCCAUUAAUUAAAUUCACACUCUUCCAAAAAUUAAAACAUUUUACAACUUUUAGUAUGGGUGACAGAACAAAGACUAAGCGCAAUAGAUUUGAGUACCGCAAGGGAAAGUUGAAAAAGAAAUGAAAUAAAUAAUUAAAGUACAAAAAAGCAGAGAUUAAACCUCGUACCUUUUGCAUCAUGAUUUAGCUAGACCAACUAGGCAAAGAGACCUUAAGCCUAUCAUCCCGAAACUAGACGAGCUACUCCGGAGCAGCAUGAAAGAGCAAACCCAUCUCUGUGGCAAAAGAGUGGGAAGACUCCCGAGUAGCGGUGACAAACCUAUCGAGCCUAGUGAUAGCUGGUUACCCAAAAAAAGAACUUCAAUUCUGCAUUAACUUUUUUAAUGUCAACUAAGAACAUCUCCAAAAGACUGAACAUAAAAAUUAAUAGUUAUUCAAAAAAGGUACAACUUUUUUGAAUCAAGAUACAACUUUUCAAGGUGGGUAAUGAUCAUAUUUACCAAGGACCAUUCCAUCAGUGGGCCUAAAAGCAGCCAUCUGUAAAGCAAGCGUCAUAGCUCCAGCCCAUAAUGAAACCUAUAAUUUAGAUAUUAUUUCCAAACCCCCUUAACCAAUAUUGGGUUAUUUUAUAAGAUUAUAAAAGAACUUAUGCUAAAAUGAGUAAUAAGAGGCUAAACCUCUCCCAACACCAGUGUAUAUCAGAAAGAAUUAAAUCACUGAUAAUUAAACGACCUCAAACUGAGAAAAUUAUAGAAAUUUAUUAUUAACUAGAAAAACCUAUUUAAUUACUCGUUAAUCCUACACAGGAGUG